rnacentral:siRNA from 1 species
AGAACAUGUUGCAUAUGAGCCU